UGCGCAGGCGGUUGUGCAAGACCGAUGUGAAAUCCCCGGGCUCAACCUGGGAAUGGCAUUGGUGACUGUACGGCUAGAGUGUGUCAGAGGGGGGUAGAAUUCCACGUGUAGCAGUGAAAUGCGUAGAGAUGUGGAGGAAUACCGAUGGCGAAGGCAGCCCCCUGGGAUAACACUGACGCUCAUGCACGAAAGCUGGGAGCAAACA
rnacentral:rRNA from 1 species